GAUAAACGCUGGCGGCGCACAUAAGACAUGCAAGUCGAACGGACCAAAUUAGUUUGUUUACAAAUUAAAGAGGUUAGUGGCGGACUGGUGAGUAAUACGUAAGCAACCUGCCUAUUAGAGGGGAAUAACAGUGAGAAAUCACUGCUAAUACCGCAUAUGCCAUAAUCACCACAUGGUGGAAGUGGGAAAGGAGCAAUCCGCUAAUAGAUGGGCUUACGCCUGAUUAGUUAGUUGGUGGGGUAACGGCUACCAAGACGACGAUCAGUAGCCGGACUGAGAGGUUGAACGGCCGACAUUGGGACUGAGAUACGGCCCAGACUCCUACGGGAGGC
rnacentral:rRNA from 1 species